rnacentral:rRNA from 1 species
CGCGUAGGCGGAUUUCCCAGUCAGGCGUGAAAGCCCCGGGCUCAACCCGGGAACUGCGUUUGAUACUGGAAGUCUAGAGUUCUGGAGAGGGUGGUGGAAUUCCCAGUGUAGAGGUGAAAUUCGUAGAUAUUGGGAAGAACACCGGUGGCGAAGGCGGCCACCUGGCCAGACACUGACGCUAAGGCGCGAAAGCGUGGGGAGCAAACA